GGUGGGCGGGGUGGAGGGGUGCAGGCUGGCGCUGGGCCCGGCCUCCGCCGGUGGGAGCCCCGGCUUCGGUGUGCGAGCACCACACGAGGCCAUCCGCGCAAACUGAGUUGUAUUGCUCUUUUUUUUCCCCCCUACCCAGAAAAUGAAACACAGCCGCCAGCGGCUGGACGAAAGCACCUGAUAACUCCUUUCUCCUCUGAGGAGAGUUUCAACCGACUUCAGCUUGAGUGAUCCAGGUCAUUUGACUAGAAGAUUUGCCUGUGCACUGAAUGAGAACCUAGCCCUGCCGUGUGUACCUGGACCUGGGAGAAGUACCUCAGUUCUUUGCCCUCACAGGAUAGCCAAACUGCUAGCUUCCGCCUGGACAGUUCUAGAAGACGCCAGGCCAACGGUUCUGUCCUAAACCCUCUCCUGGCUGCCUUCGUCCUAUGUUCUCUGAGACCUCGAACCAAAGACAGCCCGCGUCGGCCCUGGUCACAGCUGAGCUGGCCUGCCGGAUGUAAUGUGACCGGUCUGUCUGGCCAGACCGAGUGGCUCGUCAUGUCAUGUAAGCACAGUCCCGGCGCUGGAGUGGCACUUCCGCCACAGACAAGAUCAUGGAUUAGAUGUACCUAACUGUAUCCUGGAGGGGGAGGGCAGCCCCCAGGGGCCUCUGCAAGCAGCUGUUUACCAGAAAGGGCAGAGGGACCGCAGAGACCGUGUGACUGCCGCUCACCUUCAGCACUUCCAGCAGUACCGAGCUCUGUGAUUUAUCUUGACUGAGUAUUUAUCUUUCUGGCGUCGGUUACUCAGAAGACAAAAGGGAUUUUCAAGAUGGCUGAGAGAAUGUACCUUUGGCUUCUUCACCACUGACAGUGCUCUGAACUGACAAAGGAAGUACCUUUGAAGGCUUACUUUCUGCAUUAGGAGUUUUGCCUGCACCUCUGUUGUGCCUGGUUCCCUGCGAAGGUCAGAAGAGAGUGCCCGGUCCCCUGGCACUGGAGUUACAGAUGAUGGUGAGCUGCCACAUGGGUGCUGGGAGCUGAACCUGGGCCCUUUACAACAGCAGCAAGUGCUCUGAGCCCCUGAGCUGAGCCAGCUCUCCAGCCUGAGAAAGCAAUUUUGAAAUGAUCACCUUCACAUGCAUCUUCUCUUUCUUUUUCUCUGUGGCCCUGGAGACAGAACCUAGGGCCCUGUGCAUGCUGAGCAGCACCCUCCGCCUUCUGAGUCUUCUUCUGCCUUCUUCAGCCUAUCCUUGUCUGGAAGGCCGGCCUCCCGUGCUCAGCUCCCUGGAAUAUUCAUUCUGCCUUUGAGAAGUUUUCCUGGAAGUUCAGAGCCUGCUUUUGUGAUGAAAAAGUUGACUCUCAGUUAUGCACCCUGGUGAUGUCUUUAUAAAGUGUGUUGGUACCUAUUGGGCAGCUAGUGACAGGUUCUCAUACAGGCCAGGCUAGCCUCCAAGUUGCUGAGAAUGACCUCGAACUUCUGACCUUUUUGCCUCUACCUCCAGAAUACUGGAUCCUUGGCACCCAAUGCAGCCUGAACUGUAAUUCCAGCACUGGGGCAAUUCCCCUGGGUUUGUUGAUAGCCAGUCUCCCCAAAUGUGUGUGCCCCAGGUUCAGUGAAAGCUCUUGUCUCAAAAAACAAGGUGGACAGCGGUAGAGGAAGAAAGCAGAAUUGACCUGUGGCCUUCACACGCGCACACUGCAAGUAACCCCGAGGUUGAAAAGAAGCAUCAGCAAAAGCGGGCACAUCUUUCUGACACCCCCUGAGUGCUGCUGGGAUGCGUGUGUAUGACAAGCUAUUCCAGGCAGGUCGGGCCCUCCAGGCUCCAGGCUGGAGGUUAAACAUACCACAGUCAGUAUUUUCCUACCCAAUGCAGUUUCUUCCUGUCUCUGCUGGGAGCACAAACGCUUCACCUGCUCACCGGCCUCAGGACUCCCCCAGUGCCCCUCACUGCCCCUCAGUGCCCUUAUUACCCCUUGGUACUCCUUGUGUCCCUCAGGAUCCCUGAGACGGAUGCUGGCUGCUAAGAAUAGCUGCAGAUCCGCAGGCAAGCGGCAGGCAGCUGGGAAGGAGGGGAGGUCAGCCUGCAAGCCCACUGGAGUGGAGAUCUUUUCUACAACACAAUCACAUGGCCACCUGGGUCUCAAGUGACUGUGUGGCCAGCUCUUCUAGACUUCAAAGGCACCGUGCAGUCUCGAGGGUGCCUCUCAAGGGUAAAGGGACCCCAUCCCCAGCUACCCUCUUCCUCACUGUUCCUGACUGUAGAGGUUUUUCUUGCUCUGUCUUCAUUCAUUGCGAUUGUGCCGUCCAGAAACUGCCCCAAGUCCUGCUCCUUUUGGGGCCAACAACCGGUCUUGCACACAGACACUGUGACAGGGUGUUUCAACAGUCUUGGAAUGUCACAGUCCCCUCCCAUCCCUCGUGGGGCCGGUCUUGCAGGAUAUUUAAUGGGUCUCCCACCCAGCCUCAUGGACUGCUGCAGAUGUGAACAGGGAUUGGGCUAUGAGCAGGGAACUCACUGCUGCUGCUGGGUAGACUGACCAGCACACCCGGGGGUCCUCCUGCUGCCUUCCCCGGCACCGAGUGCAGCACACUAUAACUGACUUCUUACACGGGGCGGGGAAUCCAAACUCAGGUUUUCACGCUUUCAGUCUUUCUGCGUAGCCCAGGCUGACCUGGAACUCACAGCCACCUCUUGCUCGGCUCCUGAGCGCUGAGACUGUGCAUCGCUGCGCCCUGCUGCCACACCCCAUCUGUACAAAGUUGGAGCUGAAGCACCCUCUUGGGUAUCUCUUCAGGGCAUCCACCAGUGGCUUCUGUCUUUCCCCAUCUUCCCGGGUUAAAGACCUGUGUGUGGGGGCACUUUUGAAGACUUGCAGAGACCCAGCUGCCAACUCCAUCAGGCACUGCUGGGUUUGUGGUUUUGCGUGCUGCUUCUCUGUUACAUUGUUUCUUUCAUGCAGACUCUCACUGCAUGGAAGGCCAACCUGGGGCUAACUCACUGUCCACAGGAGCAGCAUGAGAGAUUUCCAGCAGAGCCCAUGAGUUAUUCAGAACCUCGCGGGUCAAGCCUGUGACAAGCACUUUCCCUGUGGAAUGGGUCUGUCACUGGGGAAUUGCUCAAGAGAGCUGGCCUCUUAGUGACCCUGGGUCUCUCCUUCAGAAAGAAGCGCUGGAUAGAUCGGGGGAACAUGAAAGCCUUUGGUUACUGCACAGCUCGGGGAGAGGGCCCGGCUUGAGGGUAUCGUAGUUCAGCUCCACUGUCAAGCUGACUGGGUUUAGAAUCACCCAGAAGAUGGAGGCACUCCCCGGAGCUGUCCCUGGGAGACAUUUCCACAGAGUUAACUGGGGAGAAAGACUCAUCCUGAAUGCAAGCAGUGCGAUGCCAUGGGCUGGAGCAGUGGCUCUCAACCUUCCUAAUGCUACAACCCUUUAACACAGUUCCCCAAUCAUAAAAUUAUUUUUAUUGCUACUUCAUAGCUGUAAUUUUGCUACUGUUAUGAAUUGUAAUGUAAAUAUCUGAUGUGCAGGAUAUUAUCUGAUAUGCGACAGCUGUGAAAGAGCUGUUUGGGCAUCGACCCUCAGGUUGAGAACCCCUGGAACUAGAGGCACGGAGGGGGUAAAGGGGGCAGGGGGGAAAGCCGGCAGUGGUGGUUAGUGUUGACUGUCGGUUUAGCAGGACCUAGAGUCACCCAGGAGAAGAACUCCGGGCACUAGGCUGUGAGGUGGGAGGCCCUCUGCACCAUCCCACAGGCUGAGAAUUGAAAGGAGAAAGGAGCUGUGAGCGUCCUGCUCAUCAGUCUCUGCUUCCUGACUGUGGACACGCGUGACCUGCUGCCUCAAGCUCCUGCCACCGUGGCUUCUCCACCCAUGCUGUGAGGUUGUCAUAGCAACAAGACAAACCCCCAAGUCCUCUGCUGCUGCUGGCCACUGCCACAAUGUUCUGCCAAGUACAAAGAGCCAAGGGAACACCGCAAACCCUCCAAAAAUGAGACAAAAUAAAUCCUUCCUCCCUUGAGCCAUUCUGUCAUACUUUCACCCCAGGGACGGGAAGAGUACCUGAUGCAGCUCUCUGGGUCCUCCCUCAGACUGUCAGCGUUCUCGAGUAGAACAGCCAGCUUUUUACAGUGCCACUCAGGAGAACACAGCAUGGGAGGACCCUACAGACAAGGCUGCUCUGACACCAUUUCACCCCUGCACAAGGCCGACCUGAACGUUCCUUUCAGCCUAGAGCCGGGAACCAAAGGCUUGCAGGUGGGGAGUAAAACUGUGUCAUUGGGGCAGCUCGGUGGCAGGAAGAACCUGAUUUUUCCAGGCUUGGCUCAUGAUGGCCGUGCUGAUGCCCAUGUGACUGGAGGUAUGAGGCACUCAGAGCCAUGAAGGGUGAAUACAGCAAACAGCUGCUCAAGACCCUGAAGAAAGUUGGUUCUCCUCCCGCCCUCCCCCUUGUCCUCUUCUUCACCCUAACGCUCUCUCCCCAUAGUGCUCCACAGCUUGUCUCUCUCCUUCUCCCUGAAGACCUAAGUCAGUCAGCCUCAACUGUCCAUGCAACCAGCUCCCUCAGAACAGGAAAGGGGGUGCUGUGAAUAAGUGCCUUCAGUCAGCAGGCAUGCAGCAAGCAUGUCCCAUGCCAGCACGGCUCUAUGUCACCCUAAUUACAAGGAGUGGAGAAGGAAGGCAUGUGACUCAUUAAUGAGGCUUCUAAUCUCCACCCAGCAUGGGACUGUCUCCUGAGCCUCCCACGCUCCCAGGAGGAUGGACAUUUUCUGUUAUGUAAUUUGCUCCCGGGUGCCACCAAGAACAAAGGUAACGAAAGCUCAGACCAUUUCCAGCUUCGGAUCCAAGAAUGCUGCUCAACCUGGGGAGAGCUUUGGCCCCUACCGAGUCUGAGAUAAGACAUGCUUCCUAAGUCAAGGUUAUAAUUAUGCCUCCUUCCUGUAAUUGUACUAAUGCGCAUGCCGGCACGCCCACAGGCUGGCCACCUAAAGCCACCAUCUAUAUUUGGUCAGUAUCACACA